CCCCCCACUCAUCAUGUUCAUAGGCUGCCACUCAGCCAGGACAGAGUGGCACCAUUGAGUCACAGACAGGUCCUAUUGGGCAGACAUUUGCAUAUUGACCAGUAACCAUGGCAACCCGAUGCUGGACUCCCAGCAGGGCCAGGUUUACCAGAUGAUACACAAAGUCUUCAUCCUGGACACAUCUUAUGACACACAGUUACAGGGGCCUGGCCGGGGAGGCCAGGACGCGGGCCCCUGAUGAGAGCACGUGCUCAUGUGUUUGUGCAUGUUUUGACUCUCAGGAAAUGGAGUGGCUGUCAGGGGAAGAAGGAAUGCAAUUGUGGCCAUAGGCUCUGUUUCCAUGGACUCUGCAAAAGCUAACUAGGCAAACCAGAAAGCUCCAACCUCACAAGUGGAAGAAAGGAAGGGAAUGGAGUCCUGGAUGGGGACUCAGACCAGAGAGGGCCUGGAGAGAAUCACCAAUCAUCCCUUGAAUCCUCAUUUCCUCUUUUAGUAGGCAGCAAACCCCCAUCCCACCCCAUCCUUGAGCCGCAUAAAAGUCUCUGGUCUCUGGCCUCUGUGGAAACCAGUGCCCUGGGGCUUGUUCUCCCUCAGCAUCCCCUUCCCCACUCUCCCCCAUCGCCCCAAGUCAAAUAAAACAAACUCUGGCCAGACCCAAAGACAGGCUGAGAACCUGUUUGUCUUUCGCAAACGCACCAGCACACACGUGCAUACACUCAUUGCCUGGCCCCAU